rnacentral:pre_miRNA from 1 species
UGGCUCCCUCUGGGGAUUCACUGCUGCCGCUGCUGCUAAUGUUGUGUUGUGGAUGGAGGAGGAGUCCCCAGGGUCACAAUGG